UACGUAGGGGGGCAAGCGUUGUCCGGAUUUAUUGGGCGUAAAGAGCGUGUAGGCGGCUUUACAGGUCCGUUGUGAAAACUCGAGGCUCAACCUCGAGACGCCGGUGGAAACCGUAAAGCGUAGAGUCCGGAAGAGGAGAGUGGAAUCCUGGUGUAGCGGUGAAAUGCGCAGAUAUCAGGAGGAACACCGGUGGCGAAGGCGGAUCUCUGGGCCUGUCCUGACGCUGAGGCGCGAAAGCCAGGGGAGCGAACGGG
rnacentral:rRNA from 1 species